rnacentral:lncRNA from 1 species
CUGGUUCUUUAAAGGGAAGGGGAAUUUCCCUUACAUAAGCCCGCAGCGACUUUCUCCACAGGGUGGGGCAUCCUGUGUUCUGGAGUCUGGGCGCUGGGCGGGAACCUGGGAGCUUUCUCCAGUGGAGCUGAGGCCAAGUCUUGGCUCACAACAUUUCUCCCGGGGAAUCUGCUCCAUCUUCGGUCAUCAUUUACGUUUCUCCGUCACAGUGAAUUAUUUCCAGUGUUCCUGUUCCUCAAGUUUUGUUUUUUUUCGGAGGAAACAGUCGCUCAAGGUUUUAAUCUUCCAUCUUAGGGGAAUGUCCACAGCCCUAAUUAAAAUGGCCGUGGCCGGGCUUGGUGGCUCACGCCUGUAAUCCCAACACUUUGGGAGGCCGAUGCGGGCGGAUCACAAGGUCAGCAGUCUGAGACCAGCCUGGCCAAUAUGGCGAAACCCCAUCUCUACUAAAAAUACAACAAAAUUAGCUGGGCGUGGUGGCGGGCACCUGUACUCCCAGCUUCUCCGGAGGCUGAGGCAGGAGAAUUGCUUGAUCUUGGGAGGCGGAGGUUGCAGUGAGCCGAGAUCACACCACUGCACUCCAGCCUGGGCGACAGAGUGAGACUCCAUCUCAAAAAUAAUAAUAAUAAUGGCUGUAAGGAGCGUGCGUUUCUGAGCCAGUGCUCGCAGGCGUGCAUACGGGGCCUUCUCCUAGCUGCCAUCUGUUACACGGGUCUGUCAUCUCCCCACUUGGAUUUGAGGACUCUUGUCUUUCCUGGGGACACAUGAUUGGAUUACUUCAUCCAGCUUGCUCAGCCUCUGCUCUUCUGAGGAAAGAAGUUGCCUCAGGAAGCGGGGAAGGAGGGGGAGCAGCGCUGUAGCUGGAACAUAACCUGAUGGCCCCCUCGUGUCUCAGAUCAUCGGGCACCAGUACUAGUGGCGGCUGUCCUUGUAGCACUUGGCGCAGAACGAAGAGGAAUACCAUUUCUGCUCUGGCUCUGACACAGCCAGCAUUUGGCCAGGCGCCUACUGUAUGCGUCAGUCAGGUGCUGCCCUUAGCACUUUCCCCAUGUUAACUCGUUCCAACCUUCACAAUGACCCUGUGAGGUAGAGACUUAUUAGUGAGGUGUUGUUAGACCCACAACCUGAACUGUCAGCCCAGAGAAAAGAAGACUGAGCUAAGCCAGAGCUGGUAGAACCAAGACCACAGUGCUCUGAAGCUUUAACACGGUCUGGCUGACCCCAGGACUGACCUUCCCCCUGCCUCAUCUCCAUUCAGCUGCCUUGAUAUCUUGAGCUGAGAAGGAGGUGUGUGUUCAGGAUCUCAGUGGCAUCCUGCGCUGUGUAACAAGUGGAUGUGUGAGUGUGAACACACUGCAUAGGAAAAGGGAGAGAAGCCAGGAGCUCACGCUGGAUCUGAACCUGUCAGGACAACUGAUUGAAAAAAAUCAGUCAGUGAUUUAGGUAUGGGACUCUGAACCACUGGUUUUGUUUCCACCAUUUGUUUUCCUCCAAAUGGAAUGAUUUCAUCUUGCUAAUAUUAAUAGGUAACCAACUAUAAGGUUGUCCAGGCAGUGUGCUAAGUUUUCAAGUUGCGUUCUCAUCAAAUCCUUGCAGCAAUUCUACCAGGCAAUGUCUUCAUUGUACAAAGAAGAAAACAGAGGCUUAAAGAGUUAAGUACUUGUACAAAUCGCAGCUGGAUAUUUGAAUUCUGACACAUCUCUCCAGAGGCCACACUCUCAGACUACACUAACUGUCCCCCACCUAGAUUCUUUUCCUGCACUUCUCUGUGGGCUGAGGAAUGAUGGUCAUGGAACCAGUGCCAGCUGAGAGGGCAUCUCAUGUGUGUAAGCUGUUGCCCCAGUCGUGGGCUUUCAGAGAAAGGACUGGAUACCCAGUGUCAUGUCCACUCAACAGCCAUGCAAGGCUGGGUUCUUGAAGCCACAGCUCUUCACUGACUCCUUGAGCAUCCAUGUGACUCUAGAGUUUAGCUAUGCAAGUGCAAGCUUUGCUCUCAAAUACAUGUGCAAUGUAAUUAGAGGAUAGCUGAUGCCUGAUUCACUGGCCUUACAAAUCUGUAGCUGCCUGGAUUUCAACUGUCAAUACAUGCUGAAGUCCUUUUCGGAUCAAAUUUAAGUUCAGAUAAAGAGUGUGUGGUGGGGACACAAUAAAUAUUUGGAAGGAAGAAAAGAUGGAAGGAAAGAAGUAAGGAAGGAGGAAAGGUAGGGCAGAAGGACCCUCCAAACAGCUGGGUACUCUGUAGCCUCAGAAGGUUGGCAAGAUAAAUCACAGCUCAGCAUAAAGCCUAUGUCGGUGUCUGGUGUUUAAAAAGUGGGGAGGAGAGGCUCAGCCCACAGCCUCUGUGGACAGGUUUUCUUUCAUCUGCUUUCUAGCCAAAGGAUGUGAAGACAAGCUACAGGAACUGAUGGGCUGCAGCUGAGAUAGGUCAGAUUUUCACUCUAGCCCCCUGAACUGGCCACAGGGCCCCUUCGUUCCCUGACUUCCAUCAUUGCUCUUUCCUGUGAUGUCUGACCUCCCCUGUGUCACUGCAUCUGACUCUUGCUGCCUCCUCAGCACCUGCGGCCCCAUCUCCUCCAAGUUCUGAACUGCACAGGCAUCUUCUGAGGUCGAGGGAGGGAGACCGUUGGACCAUGGGGGCGGUUUCUCCCAUGCUGUGGUCAUUGAGUUCUCAGGAAAUCUGAUGGUUUUGUAAGUGUUUGGAAGUUCCUCCUUGCUCCACUCUCCUGCUGACUUGUGAAAAAUGUGCCUGCUUCCCCUUCCACCAUGACUGUAAGUUUCCUGAGGCCUCACCAGCCAUGCAGAACUGUAAGUCAAUUAAACCUCUUUCCUUUAUAAAUAACCCAGUCUCGAGUAGCAUCUUUAUAGCAGUGUGAAAGCAGACUAAUACAAUCCCUAUUUUAAGGUCAGCUGAUUAGCAACUUUAAUCCCCCUUUGCCAUGUAAUGUUAAACAUAUUUGUAGUUUCUGUGGAUUAGGAUGUGGACAUCUUUGGGAGACCAUUAUUCUGCCUACCACAGUUGCCAAAAACAAAAAAACAAUGAAGCUAUCCACUGCAACAUCCUUAGUCUGCUUAUUUAUUGGCAUCACUAUGAUUUGCUUAUAAAUUGAAAUGUUUUCUCCAGAUUUUUACCUUUUAUCAAUUACACCAAAUGAAAUAUUUCCCUCAGUCUGCUGUUUUGUUUUUGUAUGAAAUUUAUGUUUCAGUAUUAAGGUCUGUUCAUUUCCUUGUGGUUUUAUUUCUUCAAAACUGAGGACAUGAAUCUUCUUUCACAGAUCUGAUAACACAUUUAUUUUGUGCUUUUUAAUACCAUGUUUAAAUUUAAAUAAAUUCUUCUGAAAUUUGUUUUGAUGUCUUUUAUAAGGGGUACCUCUACCAAUUGUUUUCCCUGAUCUCUAGCCGGUUAUCCUAAUACUAUUUACCUAAUACUAUUUAGUAAACAAUCUCCAUUUGACCUCUUUUCCUUUUUUUUUUUUUUUUUUUUGAGAUGGAGUCUCGCUCUGUCGCCCAGGUUGGAGUGCAAUGGCAUGAUCUCAGCUCACUGCAAGCUCCGCCUCCCAAGUUCAAACGAUUCUUCUGUCUCAGCCUCCUGAGUAACUGCGACUAUAGG